UAUACACCCUGAAAUGCCACCAGCUGUGGAUUUCGGAUUCCUUUGUAAGGCUCCAAGGCGCAGGCAUCACUCAUGCGAAGCUGGCAACAAUGGCAGCAGAGCUGUCCUACUGUUCAAGCUUCAAGGUAGCAUAUUUGGAUAACAGCUCCUGCAUGAAAUUGGUUAACUGAUGUUUAGAGAAAAUUUCAAUUAUCUUAGUUAUCAUGAACUUAGCAUUUGAAGAGUACCUGAUCUUCAGCUUCCAUCCCCUCGGCGUUUUGCUUCUGAGCCCACUUCUUUGCAUUUCUUUCCAGCAAAACAUAUUUCAUCACCUGCAACAAAAACCAAAUCAGUGUAGGAUCAAAACAGUUUACCGAACUCCUGAGAAGCGUUUUCCCUUUGCCAUCCUAUGUGCAAUUCAUGAUGUUACGAGACUGAGACUGUACAUCCAGUAAUUUUGUUUUGGUGGUCUGGGAUAGGUAGAACUCUGCUCUAGCUUCCUCCUGGUUCAAGCACCGAUCAACCUGAGAAAAUAGAAAGAGAACGAAUUAUAGGUUGUUACAUAAACAUAGAAUUGACUUCUUUGGGAUGCCAAAGUUUCGAGCAUUACUGACCUUCCGCAGGUAAUUGGAGAAGGAAUCACCCCAAAACCACCACUCCAAAGAUAGCUGAGAGUAGUAAGCAGCAGCUUCUGCUAGCAUUAUCUGCUCCAAUUUUUCAUAAUAGUUGGUGGUUCCAUUCCCUCCAACCUCUAAAAAGAAAUCAAGUACCCUCUUUAGUAGGUUCCGAUCAAUCUGCCCCCCUUCACGCUCUUGAAUGAUCUGCCCGUAAAGUCAUAUGCAGGGUUAAACCAACCUCAGAAAGAAGACAACCCAUUAUGAAACAACCAGUGAAUGCUAACUGACCAGCCUCAUCAUUGCUUCCUGCAAUUUACUGAAUAGCUCAUCACAGACCUGAAAAUAAGAUUGGAUAUGAUGCUCAGCCAAAUUGUGUAAGAGAACAGAAGCAAGAAUAAGAACUAAACUACUUCAUGUAGUUACUUACCAAAUUGCAGAAGUAAUAUCUCAUGGAGUCAGCAGGUGAUGGAUGUCUUUUCCUACGGAUGUAGAAAUUAUCCAGGUCUGCAAAGGUUUCUGACAAUUCCUUAUACUCCAGCCAUAAUCGCGUGAUUUCUGUUAAAAGCUCUGUACCAUGUUUGUCCAUUAACACUGGAAGUACCUGAAAGAGCAUGCAAGGAUGGAAAACAACGGGAUGUGUUCAUUAUUAUAUUCAUUGCACUUUGACAAAGAUGAAAGCAAAAGAAAUUGAAACCCUUCUCAACUGCCACGUCUCAUUUCUCCACUUGUGUAAAUUACAAAGACCACCAAUCCAGACUAAGCUAGAUAGCGAGAGAAAACAAAAUUGGGCAUGCAUAAUCAUGAGUAAAGCAUCUUGCAAAAUUAUCCUAUGAAAUAAGUUAUAAACAAGAGAGCAUGUCAUAGUAAGAGUUUCUCAUACUUUGACAUUCUUAGCCAACACAUUUAAGAUACAUGAGAGCCAAUUCUACCAGAGAAAUUAUGCAGAAGCGAAGAAACUGGAAGAAUUAUUGAUUAUAUAUGGUAGAAAUCUCACCCUUUCUUGAAUUAUCUCACUUAAACAGUUCGUAUACUUCUCAUAAACCAGGCUGCAAGAGUCCCCACGCUUCCUUGUGCACAAAUUGUAUACACACCUAUCACAAGUGUUAAGGAUAUGCCAAUUCUCGGCAACUAAAAUCACAUUCAGGAAUAUUGAUUUAUCUCGUCGAGUAGAAAAAAAAUUAACAUAUCAAACUUCGACAUGUAAGUAAACCAUAUUGCAGGAUACUCAUAAGCAAUCAUUUUUUCCGCAGGUGUAAAUGGAAUCACAGGGUGUCCAUCCAUAAUCAUCUUCUUCUUCGUAAUUAUAUCAUCUAUCUUCUUUAGCUUCUCAUUCAACAUCAUGUCAGCAUCCAUCUUCAUUUAGCUGCAGUCGAAAACAUUUAAAAUUGUAAUGAUCGCAGUUCAAAAUCAAAGAAAGAGAUAGCAUGCAUAUCUGUAUUGCACACUCAUCCGACUAUUUCUCAUUUUCCUUUUAAAAAUAGAAUUUCUAAAGUCUACAAUAGCAUCCAAAACCCUUUGAACAGACUAGAAAGUUUCUGGCGUUGACAAUUAAACUUUAUACCAAACAAACUACAUCCAAGGUCCUGUUCUAUAGGGAAGUGAAGAAAAAAGUGGGGUUUGCAUUAUACUUAUAGGGAAAGCAGCUUGCAGGGGAAGUUGAAGGGAAAGGUGGGGCUUGCAUAUACUUGUAAGGAGAAGCCACCUUGCAGUGAAAGUUGAUAGGACAUAGGUCCAUAGACCAUACGCUGUUGUUUAUUAUGUAAUAAUUGUUGUAUUUUUUAAAAAUAUUUUUAUUCAAAAAUAUAUUAAAAUAAUAUUUUUUAAAUUUUUAAUAUUAUUAUAUUAAAAUUAUAUUAAAAAAAAACAUGUUAAUUUGAUAUUUUUUUCAUAUACAAAAUAAUUUUAAAAAUAAUUUGAAUUAAUUUAAAUAAAAUUCAAUAAAGCAUAAAUAAUGAUAGCCAUAGUUGUAAAAAACUACUUAAAUGAAUUCAUUUGAUUCAAGAUUCAGAUCGAGAAUUAAGUGGUUUAAUAUGUAAAUUAAUUUAUAAAUUAUAAUUUAAAAAAUAAAAAUAUAAAAUGAUGUUAUUUUAAAUAUUUUUCUAAACAAUGUUAUUUUGGUUAUAUAUAAAAAAAACAAUUCAAAUAAAACUUGAUGUAAACCACAUUUUGGGUCAAUGAAUUACUAGAUUGGCAAGUCAGACAAAGUCAAUUUUUAUAAUUAUGAUAGUAAAGGCUAAGUUGCUUAGUGAAAAAUGGCACUAAAAUAUAAUAUGUGUUUAGAAAUGUGGUAAUUUUUAUUUUUAUGUGUGUUUUAAAAGUGUAUUUUAUUUGAAAAGAAAGACAAAUAGUAAAUUGAUAUUAUUUUAGUGUUUUUUUUUAUAAUUUUAAUGUGUUGAUAUCAAAAAUAAAUAAAUAAAUCUAAAAAAAAAUAUUUGAUGUAUUUUCAAGCAAAAACUAUUUUAAAAAAAAUAUUUUACAUCACAAUACCAAACAUAUAUUAUUCAAAUUGAGGACUAAGUGGUUUAAACCGUAGAUUAAUUUAUAAAUUAUGAUUUAAAAAAUAAAAAUAUGAAAUGAUGUUGUUUUAAAUAUUUUUCUAAACAAUGUUAUUUUAAUUAUAUAUAUAUAUAUAAAUUUAGUAAAACUUGAUGUAAACCAUAUCUUGGGUUAAUAAAUUACUAGAUUGACAAAUCAAGCAAAAUCAAGUUUUAUAACUAUGGUUGUAAAUGCUAAGUUGUUUGGUGAAAAGUGGUACUAAAAUAUUAUGAGUAUUUGAAAGUGUUUUAUCUUUUAUUUUUAUAUGUGUUUUAAAAGUGCAUCUCAUUUGAAAAAAAUAUUAAAUUAAUGUGUUUUUUGCUUUUUUAUAAUUUUAAUGUCUUGAUGUUAGAAAUAAAUAAAAAAUCUAAAAAAACUUAUUUAAUGCAUUUUGAAGUAAAAUUAUUUUUUAAAAAUACUUUAUAUCAUAGUACCAUACAUAUUUGUAAUGAAUACUACAAACAACUUCCUCUCUGUAUCUUUGACUUGAAGUUGAAAUAUUUAAAUGACAUAUUAUACUAUAACUUAAAAUGCGUGAAUUUUUUUACUAUAGAGGCAAUUAUUGUUUAUGCACACGCAAAUCACUAUGAAUAGAAUUGUUCUGCACUAUGCAUUUGUUAAAAUUUUAUUUUGGUCCUUAAAGUUUUUUUCUUGAUGAUUUAAUUCUAAUUAAAGGCCAAUUGAUUGUAAUUUUUUAGGAAAAGGUGGGGUUGAAAGAAGAGGGACUAUAAUGAAAAAGGUGUCAAACAUGGAUGGCAUGCCAUAAGUUUCAACAAAAAAUACACUUUGAUCCUCAAACUUUAAAAAUAACAUAAAUUAUACAAUUUCAGUACCUCAAUAUUUUUCAAGUUUAAGUUUUGUACAAAAACUUAUUUUUAUUAUUUUUUAGUUCCUGACUAGACAGAUGAGAGAAAAAGGUCGUCGAAUUACAGAAGUAGUAAAAGAAAAAUAUCGUUGAUACCGAUUUAGGUCAUCAAAACAGUCAAUAUUUGUGUCAAAUGGUUCCAAUUGAUGAUGAGAAUUUAUAUUAAGUAUUUUUUUGCCCUAAAAGUCUUUGAAAAUACAUAUACAAGCUCAAUUUGAAUUUUGGUUUCUGGUUUAUUUUAGUUUUUGGGGUGGUUUUUUUUUUCCCCAAGAUAAGUUUAUCAUAGUUUUAAUGUUUUCUAGGUUUAUAUUCAAGCCACCUGCCCUAAAUGAAGCAAAAAAAUAAAAAUAAAGACCCAAUCGACCAAUCCUUCUAGGGCAAGUCUAGGCACGAGCCUUGAAGAAAUGGGCUAGUCAGGUUAGUCAGGCCCAACAACAUCUAGUUUUUUUCUGUUUUUUAAUUAAUGCUUUUUACUUUAUUUGUAUUUAGAUUAAUAUCUCUUCUCUAUUUUAUUUUGUUUAAAAAACCUCUUUUAAAUUAGUUAAAAAAAACAGGUGUUUUGAAAGAAAAAAAAGUUUGAAGCCCAAUUUUCCAAUCAUCAGAAUAUUUUUUUUCAAGUCACCCUACCCCAAAUGCAGCAAAAACAAUAAAGGCCCAGUCUCUCCAUUUUUCAGCACAAGUCCAGGCACGAGCCUUGAAAAAAUAAGCCGAACAAGCUAGCUUGAUACAAAAGCGUCUGGUUUUUUUUGUUUUUUUAAUUAAUAUUUUUUUAUUUUAAUAUUUUUUAUUUUAUUUGUAUUUAGAUUAAUAAUUCUUCUCUUUUUUAUUUUGUUUUGAAAGCUUCUUUUAAAUAACAAUUAUUUUUUAGUUAUAUAUAUAAUUUUUGAAAAAAAAUUUCUUAUUCAUCUAUAAUCUUUUAUAAUUUUUUUUAAUAUUUUGUAUAUAUGAACUUUGUUUUGAAGAGGGGAAAAAAUUUAUUUGCAGAUAAUAUAUUGCAUAAUAUUUUUUUAUUUAAAUAAUUAAUGUGUAUUUAUUUAUAUUAUCAUUUAAUUGAAUAAAAAACCAUUUAACUACUUAGAAAAUUUUUAUAUAAACAAGUUUAACCAUUUUUAUAUAACAUUCUACAGAAAAGUUUGUGCUGGGAAGACCCCCGGCAUGUAAUCUAGGGAGAUUUGUCUUAACCAUAUCCUCUCAGUAAAGUUUUGGGAUCUAAGAUCCCUGCCACAUUAACAUCAGAGUGUUUAGAUUUGUGGUUUAGCGUAUUUUUUAAAGUAAUAUUAUUUAAAAAUGUAUUAAAAUAAUAUUUUUAAAAUUUUUUAACAAACAUAUAAAAAAAACUAAAAAGUAUUAUUUUAAAAAAUAAAAAUACGGUUCAACUUUAUCUCCGCGGCACACCACAAAUACAAACACAAAUUACUCGGUAGAAUGCAAGUAGAGAAGUUAUAUAGACAAGUUAAACCAUUUAACUGACUUCAUUGUCACACUCAGGAGAGUUGGGUUGCAGAUCAUACGCAAUUCAUGCUGCUGAAUAUUAUAACAGAACGAUAGUAUACUAGUUUAAAGGAUUUCAUAUUCGUAUUUAAUUAUUUAAUUAUUUUAUUUUAUUUGUGGGGUGUACCUAAAAAUGAGUUACAACAUAGUGCAUAGCGGGGAUAGGCGGAGCUUGAGCGUCAAGCAAGGUACGAUCAAUGAACAGUGGGCUGGUAAGAGAUAGUCCUCUUGCUAUUUCGGACCACGAGUUCAUAAAAUGGAUUGCAGAAGUUCCAUCUCCCAAGAUAUGGUGUAAGCCAACUCCAAGACAUACUCCUCCACAUUUAAAGAAGGUUGCCUAUUAGUCGUGGCGGAGCCAGAGUAUUUAAAAUGAGAGUACAUAUUAAUAAACAAAUAAUGAUAUUCAUAAUAUUGAAGUGUGCUUCCUUCUAGAAACUAAAAUUAAGAUUUGCACAGAUUCUCUUAUUUUUCGUGUUUGGAAUAAUAGCAAUAUUAAUUGGGCUUGUAACGAGGCUGAAGGUAGUAGAGGGGGUAUGAUUGCUCUUUGGGAUGAUACUAAAUUUCAGGUUUCAUCAGUUGAAUAUGGUUACGGGUGGAUUGGUCUAUACGGUCAGCAUAUGCAAAGUGGUUUUAUCUGUGCUAUUGUUGGUGUUUAUGCCCCUUGUUCUAUGUCAGAAAAAAAGGGAUCUUUGGAAGAACUUGUGUAUCCUUAGACAUGCCUUCCCUAUUCCGUGGUUGAUGGUGGGAGAUUUUAAUGAGACUUUGAAUCAGAUUGAUAGAAGCAGUGGCUAUCUUCAUAUCAAGGGCUCUUCAGCUUUUAGGAAUUUUCUGGAUUCUUGUCACCUUAUUGAGUAUCAACUGGCUGGAGGUUACUUCACUUGGUUCAGGAAUUGCUUGAUGAGCAAACUAGACCGUGCUUUCUCAGAUGAAUCCUUUCUUCUACAAUUCUCAAAUGUAAUGCUCCAUCGAUUACCCAGAGAAAUGUCAGACCAUUGCCCCUUGCUUGUUUCUGAUUCCCUCCUAGAGAGCGGUUAUCGGCCUUUUAAAUUUUUGGACUGUUGGCUUCAAUUUCCUAACUUCAAAAAUAUUAUUAGAGGCUUUUGGUUUGAUGGGUGUACAACAUUCCCAGGACGUUUCAGAUUUAUUAAGAAGCUUAGCUUUGUAGCAGCUCAACUUCGGCGAUGGAACAAAGAUGAUUUUGGUGAUCAGGAGUACAAGCUUCAGGUUGUGAUUUCCCAAAUUGAUGAUCUAGAGAGAAAACAGGAGGCUGAUCCUCUAUGUCCCUCAGAUCACCUCAAGCUUGAAUCUCUUAUAAAGGAUAAAUGGACCUACAGUAAUAGAGUUGAAUGCAAGUGGAGGCAGAGAUCUAGACAGUUGUGGUGCAAGCUAGGGGAUCGUAAUACCAGGUUUUUCCAUUUGAUAGCUAACUUCAGAAGAGCUAAAUCUCAUAUUAUGAUGAUCAAUCAUAAGGGGGCUGAACUCCGGUCAUUACCAGAAAUCAAAUCUGCUGCUGAUUAUUUUUUAAUCUGUAUAGAGCUCCAAUUGGGAAGAAAGCAGAGAUGGGUCAAAAAGGUUAAAUUCAAAGUUGUCUCUUUGGCUAGAGCGAGAUGUGACAUUGGAUGAAAUUAAAAGAUGUGUGUGGGAUUGUGAUGGUUCUAAGAGUCCUGGUCCAGACGGUUUCAAUUUUAAAUUCUAUAAGCUCGCUUGGGAUUUUAUUGCAGAAGACUUAUUGGACCUGAUCACUGAAUUUUUUAGAACAGGGUCUAUGCCGAAAGGGGUUAACCUCUCCUAUAUCACUUUGGUGCCGAAAAGAAAGGUUACUAUGGAAUUCAAAGAGUAUCGCCCCAUUAGUUUGAUCCAUGGUAUUUACAAGAUUAUUGCGAAGAUUUUGUCCAGCAGAUUAAAGGAAGUAAUAGGCAGCUUGAUUAGUGACAAUCAGACUGCUUUUAUAGCAGACAGACAAAUUGUUGAUGGUUUUAUGGUAGCUAAUGAAGUGGUUUAUGAUCUAAAAAGAAGUCGAAGAUCGGGUCUCAUCUUCAAGGUUGAUUUCCAAAAAGCUUUUGAUUCAGUUCUAUGGGAUUACAUUGAUGAGGUGAUGACUUACAUGGGUUUUGGUGCUAAAUGGAGAGGGUGGAUUUCCUCUUGCUUGUCUACUAGUCAGGUUUCAGUCUUAGUCAAUGGCUCUCCUUCCCCAGAGUUCAAAGUGGGGCGAGGUAUUAGGCAAGGUGAUCCCCUAUCUCCCUUUCUUUUUAAUAUUGCUGCUGAAGGUCUAUCUGUUCUCUUCCAACGUGCGGCAUCCUCAGACAUCUUUCAGGGUAUUGAUUUUGGCUCCAAUAACUUCUUAAGUCACCUUCAAUAUGCAGAUGACACUCUUGUCUUUAUGCCAGCUAGUUUGCAUGCCCUCCAGUCAGUUAAAAGAGUCUUAAGGUGGUUUGCUCUAUGCUCAGGCUUGCACAUUAAUUUUUUUAAGAGUUCUCUUAUAGGAAUCAAUGUUGAUGACUCCUGCUUGGAUGAGUUUGCAAAAUCAGUUUACUGCAGGCAUGAUUCUCUUCCAUGUAAUUACCUGGGAAUGCCUUUGGGGUCUAACCCUAGAAGGAUUUCAACAUGGAAACCCGUCAUUGAUAAGUUUCGAAAGAAACUCACUUCGUGGAAAGGGAGAAUGUUAAGCAUGGCCGGUUGCAUUUGCCUUAUCAAAAGUGUGUUGAACUCCCUUCCUUUGUACUUCAUGUCCAUCUUCCUUAUGCCAAAAGGUGUGUGUCGCUUACUUACUUCCAUCCAACGCAAAUUCUUAUGGUCGGGAACUGUCAAAAUGAGAAAAAUUUGCAAAGUCCAAUGGAGCGUGGUUGUUAGAGAUAAAGAUAGGGGUGGCCUUGGGAUUAGGUCAUUGAUAGCCAAGAAUAAAGCAAUGAUUUUCAAGUGGAUUUAGAGGCUCUCUCUUCCUGGUAAUGAGCUGUGGAAGAAGAUGAUAUUCAACAAAUUCAAGCCGGUGUUUGAAAAUGAUUUCCCUAUUUUUAGUAGAAGAUUGUCUUGUAUCUGGAGGGAUAUAACAUCCCUUAUGACCACAACAGACUCUGUCUCUUCAGCUUUAGCCAAUAAUUGCAGAUUUGUAGUGGGAAAUGGCUCUCUGACUCGAUUCUGGUAUGAUGUUUGGUUUGAUAGCUCUCCAUUGAAAGUCAUCUACCCUCGACUCUACAUUCUUACCACUAAACCGAAUGCCACAAUUGCUGACAUGGGAAUUUGGGAGCAAGGAGAAUGGAAGUGGGAGUUAGCUUGGAGGAGACAAUUGUUCCUCUUUGAAACUGAGCAGGUCGUCUACCUUCUCUCAUCUCUAGAAAGCUUUCGAAUAAAGGCAACAACUUUAGAUAAAAAAGUCUGGUCCUCUUCAACAGAUGGAGGGUAUACAGUUAAAACUUGUUCUCUACUUAUUGACAAGAUUGUGAAUCCAGGGCUUAGAACUUUCAAGGCUUCGAUAUGGCAAAAAGGGGUCCCUCCUAAGGUUCAAUCUUUUCUUUGGCUAGCUGUUCAGAAUAGACUAUGCACUAAGGAUUUCUUACUUGACCGUAAUAUAAUCCCAGUUGAUCAAGCCUUUUGUAUCUUUUGUGAAAAUGAGAUUGAGACUUCAAAUCAUCUUCUCCUCCAUUGUAGACCAGUGUGGAAAUUAUGGAUGAAAUUCUUGGAUUGGUGGGGUAUUAGUGGUUGCCUUCCCUGCUGUGUGGAUGAUCUUUUACAUCAAUGGCCCAACCUAGUGUUCGGAAAAUUCCAGCGUAAGGCUUGGUCUAUGCUUUCUUGUUGUGUUAGCUGGAGUAUAUGGCUUAUGAGGAACAAGGUAAUCUUCAAUGAUGGAACUGCGACCUUCGAAGAUAUUUUCUCCUUAAUUCUUUAUCGCCUCUCAAAUUGGCUCAAGUUUGUAGAUAAGUUCUUCAUGGCUACUGGCACUACUUUAAUUAUGGGUCCUGAAGGUAUUAUAGAUUGGUCUAACACCAAAUAAAGGCUUUUAGCAUGGCGUAUCAACUUCUUCAUUCCUAAUGUCCUUUUUCAGUUAUGUAUCUGUUGACUUUCUUUUCCUUUCUUUUUGUGUUUGUUUUUUGUUAUUGUGAUUUUUUUUUUUCAUGUAUCUUGUUUUUGGCUACCUUCUGGUUAGCCCUUUCAAUAUAUCGACUUAUUCCAAAAAAUAUUAAUAAACAAAUAUUAUAUUAUAUAGAUAUAUAUUAAAAAUCAAUUCGAAACAAAUAUAUUAAUUUAUUUAAAAUAAAAUUAAUUUAAAAAUACUUUUAAAAUGAAAAAACUUAUAUUAUAAUUAUUCUCUUUAAAUUUUCAUAAUAAAAAACAUAUUAAUUCAUCAAAACUCAUUUUACACCCCAUUACCAUGUAGCAUGCUGUAAAUAAUACAUGAAUAUGGAUCAUCAUUGAUAGUUUAAAUUUAUCAUGAUAGAUCAUUUUUAAAAAUAAAAUAAAUAUUUUUUUCUUUUUUUUUAAACCAAUCUUUAAUUUUGCAACUAUCAAUAUUUACUUAUUGAAAACAAUUGAAAUAUUUGUUUGUUUAUCUCAUGAAAAAAUUUAAUUUCAUACCGUAACCAAUUCAAUUAGAAAUAAUAUAAUUUUUAAUUAAUUCAAAAUAAUUAAAUCAAUACCUAUUUUUCAAAACAAUUCAAAAAAAAUUAAAGGGGCAAUUGCCCCCUUAAUCUCCCUAUGUGGCUCCGCCACUAAACACAUUUUUCAAACUCAAUAUAAAUAAAAAAAAACUAAAAAACUAGUUUUUUUCAUUUUCAAGAUACAAAAAAUAAAUACUUGGAUUUGAUUUUUUAGGUUAUUUGUGGUGAUAAUAGUGACUGAAAAUUGAAAUAAGAUAAAGGUGAGAAGAGUAAUAAAAAAAAUUGAAUUUAGUAUUUUAAACAUAUAAAUUCAAUUUAUUUGUCAAUUACAAUAGAAUUAAUUCCAAACAACCUCUGAAUAAAACCAUUAUAGGCUGAAUAUGUACCAUUAUUAAAACCUCAACUACACAGUCACCAAAACACUCUUCUUUUCUCUUCCUGUCAUAUUGUCUGUCCUCGAUUUUAUGCCUUGCGUAGUCUUGAAAAAAUAAGGCCUUGAACAAAAAAAUAUUUGGAUAUGAUAUUUUGGGUUAUUUGUGGUGUUAGCAGUGAAGGUGAUAAGGAUAAUAUAAAAAACAAGAUAAAUUAAAUUUAGUGUUUCAAAACAUAUAAUUAAUUUCAAUUUACUUAUUAAUUAAAUUCAAAUUUAAUACAAUAAUUAAAUUCAAUUACAAUAAAAUUAAUUUCAAACAACAUGUAAAUAACAUUAUUAAGUGUGAUGUUGAAAAAAAAAACACAACAAAUGAAGUUAUACCGUAUAAAUCAUGAACUUGCGAAUUAGAAAUCGUAAAAGAACUUCUUGAAGAGUUCCAUGUGAUGGCUUUCUAGGCAAAUAAAUAUCAUUAAGCUCCCAUCAUUAUUUGGGCAUCGAGCAAUGUAUGCCAUGCCUUCGAAGCCAACAAUUGCGGGCCCCAUAAAAGAGGGUCGACCCCAACCAAAGUCAGCAUCAUAUAUCGGCAUUGUCAUCCAACUCACAACAUUGAUGUUUGGAUUAUUAAAUGUGUGUGGCCCUCGCUUCAAAGCUUCUAAAUCAGUCUGGACCUGCAAAUAAUCAAUGGCUGAUCUCAAAUAUUCAUUGUCCAUUCUUUUCAAUGCUCCACGGAUUUUCGCUAUGGUAUGCACCAAUGGCUUUGAUUGCAUUUCGCCUGAUAAACCUAAAAUUGCUGUUGUGAAAAGAACAUUGCCACAGUAUCCGGCUGGCAAUGGUGGGUUCAAUCUUGAUCGCCCAUCUGUUGGAAUGUGUAGUUUUGUUGCUUGGUCGUUGGAGAUUCCACGUGCCUUGCAGGUGCAUUGCCAAAUAUGUGCUGCUAGGGUUUCAAAGGUGCUAUAGUUGAUAGUGCCAUCACCAACGUCUUUUCUAGACUUGUUUCUUAGGGUUCGGAGUUGAUCACAUGUGAUGGUUAGGAUUUUUGCACAAGUGGGUUUCGGAUUUGAUUGGAUUUCUGGGGUUUGGUCACCGGAGAUAUGGGUGUUCAGGGGAGGAGGGGGGUCGUAUUCUACGUGAUGCAUAGCAGGGAUAGGCGGAACUCGAGCAUCAAGCAAGGUACGGUCAAUGAACGGUGAGGUGGUAAGAGAUAGUCCUCUUGCUAUUUCAGACCACGAGUUGAUAAAAUGAAUUGCAGAAGUUCCAUCUCCUAAGAUAUGGUGUAAGCCAACUCCAAGACAUACUCCUCCACAUUUGAAGAAUGUUGCCUGUUAGCAACAUACACAGCACGUAAAUCAUAAGCAGAAAACACUUUUAAGUUUCUAAAACUCAAUACAAAUUUAAAGAAAGUUCUUUUAAAAAACUAAAAUAAUACUUUGUUUCUUCUAAAAAGAUGUCAAAUUGCAAAUAGUAAUAUAUGCAUAUUAAUUUAUUAAACUUGUUUUCCUAUCAAAGAAUGCAUGGGAGAUGCAAUGAUUGUACGUAGAUAAUGUAAUUAAACACAUUAAAUAUGGAAACUAAUAAAUCUAUUGUUAUCUCAACGUUCAAAUAAGAUCUGAGUGAUUCAAAUAAAUUAUUUUAUAAUAUGCUACUUUUCAUUUCAAAUCUAGCAUAAACCCUAAAAAAUCACGCACAACACAAAUAAUUUCAAUACUUUUGAAUAAAAUCCAAAGACAGCAUCAAAAACCUUACCUGUAACAGUAGCAGAGGAUAGGAAAAUAUGUUUGAACGAUCAACUUCUGGAACGAACUGCAGCAUCUCAAAGUGGGGAGUAAAAUCCCCCAGUUCAUCAGUGGUAGAGCUUGUUUCAACCUCGACAAAUAGAACUCCUCUGGCAUUACACAAUAUCGACAUCCUACCAUUUUGAUCCUUCUCUAACCUCCCUGCCAUAUGGUAGAAUGGCACAAGAGCCUUGCUCAGAGCCUCCUUGAGCACUUGAGGGUUAAAAAAACUGCAAGAAUCAUUAACUGGCUUGUAGAAGUAUAUUGUUGGGACGUGUACAAUUGGCACCAAGAGGUCCAGAUUUGAGCUCCAUAGGCUUUUUUUUGGUGUCUCUUCCGCAGGACGUACAAUAGUUGACUCUUUUAUUCGAAUAUCAACUUUUACCAUCUGCACAGCAACAAAAUCAUGUUAAAGACCUGUUGAUAUAUAUAAGUUGUUUAAAUUGUUGAAAAUCAACUCCAUGUUCUUAUCUUGAAAGAGAAAAAUAGAGAGAGAGAGAGAUUCGUCAUACCUUGCGGCCCUAUACAGAGAAUAAAAUUACUUUUAGAAUUAGGGGGCAAAAAAAGCUUCGUCCCCACCCUCACGCACUCAGAGGAGGAGGAAAGAGGGGCUUUUGUACACAGUUGGUGAAGACGAAUCCUAUUUAUAGAUAGACAAACAGCUUAACAUAUUUUCUUUAACGUUUUAGAAUUUAGAGGGGGAAAAAAAUGAAAGUGGGAGUUAUUAAUUUGAAGUGUCAGACAAAAUAUAAUAUUGCAAGUAAUGCAAGGUGUUCUCUAGCUACUUCUCCGACAAAUCUUAAUUUCACAUUCAUACAAAUCUUAAUAUCACAGGGAUACAAGUACAUAUUUGUUAUGGAAAGUACUUUCUGAUAAAUUAAUUUUCAAAUUUUAUUGUGUUUGUUUGUUAUUAAAAAAGUUGGUCAAUAUAAAACAUUUUCUGGUCAACAUAAAAUACUUUCUAGUCAAUGGAAAACACUUUCCGGUCAACGAAACAUAUUUUUCAGUCAAAGAAAAAUUUGGCUUGGUUUUUAGGAAAAUAUUUUUCCUUUAGCUGUGUUUGUUUUUCGGAAAGUGAUUUUCAGGAAAUCACUUUCCAAACUUUCUUGUGUUUGUUUGUCAUUAGAAAAGUUAGUCAAUGGAAAACACUUUCCAGUAAAAGAAAAAUUUAACUUAGUUUUCAAGAAAGUGUUUUCCUGAAAAUUUUGAGGGAAAAACACUUUCCGGAAGUUGUGAAAAAUUUAGAAAUGUCAUUAUUUGCUAAUUAUAUCAAAUUUGAUCCUCAAACUUUUGAUUGCUAUAUAUAUUUUGUUUUGAAUAUUUAUUUUUCAAUUUCAUCUCUUAAAAAUUUAUUUUUAUAUUAACUUUGGUCCUUAUUUUUAUAAUUGCUAUUUGCUUUUUCCUUAUCAAUUUUUUAUUGAAAUUUUUUAUCUAUCAAAUUUGGUCCUUAUUCUUUUGAUUGUUACUUAUUUUAUUUGAAAUAAUUUAUGAAAUAUUAAUUAUUAUUAUUUUAAUUUCUUCAUCUUUUUUUAUUUUUUUUUAAAAAAAUUUAGAUUUGAUCUCUAUUAUUUUGAUUAUUAUUGAUUUUAUUUGAGAUAAUUUAUGAAAUUAUAUUUUUUUUCAAUUUUUUUCUCAUUUAAAUUUUUAAUUUUUAAUACUUAUUCUUUAUUAUUUUAAUAAACUUGAGAAAAAUAAAAUAUUAAUAAGUUAUUUUUCAGCUCAUUUUCUAUUACAUAACCAAACACUGGAAAAUGUUUUCCAACUUACUUUCCAUUACACUACCAAACAUCAGAAUUCACAUUCCCGAAAUUCACAUUCCUGAAAUUUACUUUUUCAGAAUUUAUUUUUCUUAAAAUUUAUAUUUUUUUUAAAUAUUACUUCUCAGCAAAUAAACCGGCUAAAUCUUAAUUAAUAGCUACUCGGGAAUCACUAUAUAUUUUAUGGAUAUAAGAUGGUCAUGGAAUCCAUGCAUUUAAUGCCCUAGAUCAUUAUCUCUGUUGCUGUUGCACUGGGAACGACAAUAUCUCCUAUCGACACCUCAUUGGUAGUUGAGUUUAAAUGAUUGUCCUACUCCUACAUAUUGUCAUUAUCCAUGCAUUUUAAGAUAACAAAAAAUAUUUAGAAGUUCUCAAUAUUUUUUAUUCUAGUAGAAAUUUAAAUUGAAUUAACCCUAUUAAUUUUAUGAGUUUAAAAAAUAACUCGAACAACCUAUAAAAAUAUUCAUGAUGAUAUUUUUUAAUAUUAAAAUAACAAAUAUUAGAUUAAUUUGGAUCAACACAGGUUAUGAAAUUAUAAAAACUUUGUAGAAAACAUAUCAAAAUAAAUUAUAAAACUUAAUCCCCAGUCAAUUUAAUGUUGAAGAAUAAAAUUAAAAAAAAUCAAUUAUUUUUUUUAAAAAAAAGGAAAACCAAUUUAAUCUGUGAAAUUCACUACCCAAGUCAUAAAACUGAGAUAAUCUCAUAGAAAAUAAAUCAAAAUAAAUUAUGAAAUUCAAUUAUCGGUUAAAUUAAUAUUAAAUGAUAAGAUUAAAAAAAAUCAAUUAAAAAUAAUAAAAAAAAAUAACUCAAAACAUCCCCAAAUUUAUAAUAUAACUUAAAGAUAAUUUUCUCUUCAUUUAAAGUGAAAAAACGAGGCUAAUUCCUUUUUGUCACAGCAUAUUAUCAAUGAUAAUGCUCAACUAGAAUAAUUCAAGUUAUUGAUUUGGUUGGCCAAUUUCUCCCAUAUUUUUUUAGUUUUUCUUAUUAGUCGAUUAAUCAGUUGACAGGUUUCAUCGAUCGAUUAAAACAAUAAUGACUUGAAGUAUACAUUUAAUCAAAUGGUCAACCGAAAUGAUUUGUACACUCAGUCAGUCCAUCGACAUCGGAUGUUGUUGCUAUUUAUGUUUUGAAUUAUAACAAGUUAAAUGUAACAACCUCACUUUUAUUACAUUUCCAAUUUCCUGACCCGUCAUCCUAGAUUAACCCCACAUCAUUAUACACAAGAAUAGACAAUAUAUUUUAAAAGUGUAUUUUACAUGAAAAAAUAUUAAAAUAAUAUAUUUUAUAUAUUUUUUAAUUGUUUUAAUAUAUUAAUAUUAAAAAAUAUAUUUUUAAAAAGUAUUAUGCAUUAUAAUAUAAAACACACAUUAACUCAAAACCAUCUCGAAUGAAAAAAAAAAGUAAAUAAAUAAAUCGAUGUCCCUAACAAUGAUUCACUAUGGACCUACCCGACGCUGGACUUAUAAACAUGGCACUGAUGGAGUUAAACAAAUUGUCAGAAGCCAUAGAUGAUUUUUAUAUCUUUUGCAUACACCACUUGCUUUUUAAAUACAAAAUUAUUAUUUUAAUGAUAAAUUACAUUAUUAUUUUUAUCUAAACUUACAAUUAAAAAAAACAAGGCUAAAAAACUCAAAUACCCCAAACAACAAUGAAUUCAAUAAUUUGUAUCUAAAAGAUACAUGUAUAAUUCUAUUGUGUAUGAAAAGACAAAAUACUUAAAUACCCUUACCCGAGAUAACUGUUUUUUUUUAGGAUAUUUUGAUUAUUUUAUUGUUCAUUAACACAUUAAAUGUAUAAACAGAAAUAAUCGUAAACAAAUCAAUAAUGAUUAUUACAACUUGUAAAAAUAUUAAAAUACUCUUAGUCUAAAAAUUUGUUUUUUAUAUAAAGAAAAAAAAAAUGCAAAAUAAUCAUAUUACACACGGAAUGCAAUUCUAAAUUUCUAGUCCCGCCAUGAAUAAUGUUUUUCUUUUCUUGAUCCCAGACAUCUCCUCUAUGAUUGAUUGUAUCAUUAUUACCGUCCUAACUAUUUAAUUUACGACGACAUUUACAUCGAAAAAGGUGUGAAAAUAAUCCAUUAAUAAUACACAAGUUGUCAAUUCUAUUCCGUUCCGUCUGAAAUGGUCGAAAUAUUCUAUAUCAAUUCAAACAACGGAACAAAACGGAAUAAAUUUUAUCUCAUUUUAAAUCUCGGCUCGUUCUGAAUUUUUCAAAACGAUGACAAAAAGUCAUUCUACAUAUUCCGUUCCGCUCUUGAAAAGUCAUUAAAUCAAAUUAAACAUUGUUUAAUUUCAUUAACUAAAUCACCUAAUUAUAAAAAGUUCUUUUUCAUUCCUAUUUUCAAUAGCAAUGAUAUUAAUAAUAAUAUUAAAAAUUAUUAUUACUAUUUUCAUUAACAAUGAUAUUAAUUUUUUAAAAUUAGAUUUAUCACUAAUAUAUAUGGUUUAUAUUCAUGUUGUUUUUUUUUUCUUCAUAUUUAUACUUUGUAGGAAUUUGAGCAAAACAAGGAAUGCUUUAUAUUCCAUUAGCCACUUGAUAACAUUGACUUAAUUUUAUAUUUAAAAUAUUUUUGUUAAAACAUUUUAUUUUCAUAAUAUUUUGAUAUUUUAUUUAAGUUGAAUUACUUUAAGUUAAAGAUCCAUUUAAUCUUGACUAUUUAGAAAUAUUUUAAAAUUUAAAAUUAUAUUUGUUUGGCAUUGUGUUUAUAUUGCAUAAUUUAUAAUUAAUUUAUCUUGAAUUUGAAUUAUGUUUGUUGAAUAUAUAUAUAUAUAUAUAUAUGAACAGUACAACUUUAAAACGAUAUGCCAAAACAUUUCAAAACUGAAACAUUUCAUUUUAAUUGAAAAAAUAAAAUAUUUAUUGAAAUAGAAUUUACACCCUUGAUAUAAUACGUUUGAUGUAGGGCAUGGUUCGCCGUGGACCUACCAUCUUUAAUAAGUUUGAUGCACUCGGAUAAAUUGUCAGAAAGCCAUAGAUAAUUAUGGAUCCUACAAAAUGUCAUGUCCUUGCCUUUGUCUAGAUUUUAAACAUGGCAUGGAAUUAACUGGACAUCAAUUAAAAACUCAAAAAAUGAAAGGGAAAUGAGGGAAAAUAUAGAUGUAUAAAGAAACUAAAAAUCACAAAAUAUAUACAAAGCACGUCAAUCAUAAACAGAAAACACAUUUUUCAAACUCAAUAUAAAUAAAAAAAACUAGUUUUUUUCAUUUUCAAGAUAGAAAAAAUUCUCUCCUCCGAGUAGCCUAUAAAACUACUGUCUAAAUACAAAAAAAAAAAUGCUAAUAAAUAAAAUUCUAAAUAAAUUGAAAGUCAUAGUCUAAAUAAAAAGGAAUAAAAAAAACAAGAUAAAUAAAGAAAAUCUUGUGUAUAACUUAAGCUGAAUUUAGAUAUGCGAGCUGACUCAAGUGAAUUAUUUGUCUUCGAAUAUUUAAAUCUGGUAACAGGUUCUUUGCAUCUCACGUGAUAUAUUAUAUAAUUAAUCCUUACACAUCCUUCCCAUGCUAUGAGUACUUUGCCUUGGAUUGGUAAAAAACACUGUAGAACACAAAUAGUUUCAAUACUUUUGAACAAAAUCCAAAGAAACAUAAAACUCACCUGUGCGAGUAGUAGAGGAUAGGAAAAUAUGCUUGAACGAUCGACUUCUGGAAUGAACAGCAGCAUCUCAGAGUGGGGAGUAAAAUCACCCAGUUCAUCAAUGGUAGAGCUUGUUUCAGCCUCGACAAAUAGAACUCCUCUGGCAUUACACAAUAUCGACAUCCUACCAUUUUCAUCCUUCUCUAACCUCCCUGCCAUAUGGUGGAAUGGCACAAGAGCCUUGCUCAGAGCCUCCUUGAGCACUUGAGGGUCAAAAAAAGUGGAAGAACCAUUGACUGGCUUGUAGAAGUAUACUGUUGGGAUGUGUACCAUUGGCACCAAGAGGUCCAGAUUUGAGCUCCAUAGGCUUUUUUCUGGCGUGUCUUCGGCAGUGAUAAGGGAAUUUUUAGCAUAUAUAUUUUUCGCUAUUCAUGCUUGAUUUUUAAAUAUUUUGGAUAUGUUGAACAAGAAAAUUAGAAUUUUGAAUCUCUUUUUGAACUAUUGACCUCGUGGGAAAUUAAUGUGUUUUCAGAUCUUAGGUUACUAAACAGGCAGAGCCGGGCAGUGAAACUGAACAGUGAUUCAUUAUGUGCUGCAAAGAAGCUAUACAAUUUAGUUCCGGAUGUUCGUAACCAUUUUCAAAUAGCUGAGAUGAAGGUCUACAAAACAUAUGAAGGGCAUAUAACUCAGUUUUGUUGUUUCGAAGCCCAAAAAGCGAGUUGAAAAACAAGGAUUGAACCAGCCCGAAACUCCUGCACUGCAAAGACUGCUUCGGUUUAUGGCCCUUAUCUCAGCACUCAGACGUCCAAAAAUUGCAAGAUCAGUUUUGUUGGAAAGAAAAUUUGAUUCUCUACAAUUUCUCCAGAAAUAGAGAUCUUCUAAUUCGCACGUUUUCUACCUCAAAUCGGGCCCGCAAUGUCUGAGUAGGAAGGAAUUUAAUGCAGAAUAGGAAAUUUUCCUCAUUACUGCAGGGGUAGAAAAGCCACAAUAUAAAAGAAGAGAAAAAGGGGGAUUGAAAGACGGAAACCUACAACAUAGAAAAAAAAAGAGAGGAGGCGGCACCAAGGGAAAAGAAAACAUUGGCAGAGGCAAAACUAUUCAAAAACCGGGAGGACACCUAUCUUUUCGACGGAAAUUCUCUGCUUUUGAGUGAUGUUCAUCGUAUCAAGUUUGUUUCUCUUUAAUUUAACUAUGGAGUAGACUUUUAUUCUGGGAUUUUUGAUGUAACCUUACUAUGAAUAUGUGAACAAUUUCUUCGAUUGAAUUAUUACAUUAAGAUGUUGAGUAUUUGAUUCUAUGUGUAAUGCUUGCGUGUGUUUGGCCAACAUUUGCAUGAUUUAGAAUUCAAUUUGAAACUGAGAAGUAAUAAUUGUUUUAGCUAUUGUUUGAAAUACCUUAAGAAAUCUAUAGGAUAGAGAUAUCCUAUGAACUUUUGUAAUCGUUACAGGUUUUACAGUACUUAAUAAAUAUCGACAAGUUCAGAACUUUCGUAGAGUAUAUGAAAUUUGUUUGUCGAAAUAAUUUAUUGAUGCUCGAGAGAGAUUAAUAUUUACAUUAGAAAAACCUGAUUAUCAACAUUAGGAGUAAUUAAUUUAAUUGAGAAAGUUCACAUAGGCAUAGUUACGGUAAGUCAGAAAUCCUAGAACCAGUACAAUUGAAUUCAUUAAUAUUUAAUCAAAUAGUUGUUACCUUUUAAUCAUUAAUUUUUGCAAAUCCUCGUGGGACGAUACUCUACUCAUCACUUUAUUACUUGUUACGAUUUAUGCACUUGCAAAAAUAACCAACAAGUUUUUGGCGCCGUUGCCGGGGAUUUUAGAUAAAAUUACUAAUAAUAUCAAUAUAAAUUAAAUUUGAUCUAAUUUGAUUGCCUUUUGUCUUCAGCUCUUUAGGUGUGUGUCUAGUGCAUGAGAAGCAACAAAAAUUAGCCGUUGCUACCUUAUAAUCCUGAGAUUGAGAGAACUGCAAGGGGAUUAAGAAAGAAAACGCGAGAGACUCAAAACAGUUCAAGCAUCAUGGUAGACAAUGGAAAUCCUGAGCAAGAUACACGGGCAUUGAGAGAUUUUGCUCUCCCACAGGUGACAGGAAUCCGUUCUGUUAUCAGGAAACCAAGGAUUGAGGCCAAUAAUUUUGAGAUCAAACCAGCAAUACUGCAGAUGAUUCAGACCUCAGUUCAGUUUUAUGGGUUGCCAAGUGAUGAUCCUAACGCCCAUAUUGCAAGCUUCUUGGAAAUUUGCGACACAUUUAAGCAUAAUGGCGUUACUGAUGAUGCCAUUCGCCUCAGACUGUUUCCAUUUUCUUUGCGAGAUAGAGCGAAGAACUGGUUAAACUCCAUGCCUGCAGAUUCAGUUAUCAGCUGGGAAGAUUUAGCUCAGAAAUUCCUUGCUAAAUUUUUUCCACCAGCCAAGACAGCAAAAAUGCGCAUUGAGAUAGCUAACUUCGCCCAACUUGAGAGUGAACCAUUGUAUGAGGCAUGGGAGAGAUACAAGGAUUUGCUCAGGCGAUGCCCCCACCAUGGACUACCGAAGUGGAUGCAGGUGCAGAAUUUUUACAAUGGAUUGAAUGCCUCCACAAGAACACUAAUUGAUGCAGCUUCAGGAGGAGCUUUUAUGAGUAAGUCACAGGAUGAUGCUUACAACUUAUUGGAAGAAAUGGCUAUGAACAAUUACCAAUGGCCAAAUGAAAGAAGCAUACAGAAGAAGACUAUUGGGGUGCACGAAAUUGAUGCAAUCACGGCAUUAACAGCUCAAGUCCAUUCACUAACUCAGCAACUGAAAACCACUCAACUGUCAGCAAAUGCCAUCCAUACAACGUGUGAUUUUUGUCAUGGAAAUCACACGAGUGAAGAGUGUCAGGUUGGGAACCCAUUCUCUCAAGCAGAGCAUGCUCAUUUUGUGUCAAAUUACAGCCGGCAGAACAACCCCUACAGUGCAACAUAUAAUCCCGGUUGGAGAAAUCAUCCUAAUUUCUCAUGGAACAAUCAAACUGUCAUGAAGAAUCCAGCCAUGCCAUCUUCAAGUGAGCACAUGAAGGAGAAAUCAAAACUUGAAGAAGCUAUGACACAAUUAGCAAACAACACCAGCAGAUUCAUGACUGAUACAAAUACCAAUCUGCAGAACCAAGCAGCGUCAAUUCGAAAUUUGGAGGUUCAGGUUGGUCAGUUAGCCAACAUGCUCACGGGUAGACAACAAGGAAAUCUACCAAGCACAACUGAAAUUAAUCCUAAGGAGCAAUGCAAGGCCAUAACUUUAAGAAGUGGAAAAGAAGUGGAGCAGACUGCUGGAAACAAGAGUGCGGGAAGAGAAGAAGAGGAGCAAAUGGCCGAACCAAUUCAGAAUAUGAAAAAAUCUGAUCCUCUGCCAGAACCAAUGCAAGAAAUAAUGCAAAGAAUUCCAUUUCCACAACGUCUCAAGAAGAAUAAACUUGAUAAGCAAUUUUCUAAAUUUCUUGAUGUGUUUAAAAAAUUGCAGAUUAACAUUCCUUUUACAGAUGCUCUUGAACAAAUGCCAAGCUAUGUGAAAUUUCUGAAGGACAUCCUCUCAAACAAAAGAAAGCUAGAGGAAUAUGAGACUGUCGCUCUUACUGAGGAAUGCAGUGCUAUUUUGCAGAAGAAACUGCCUCCUAAACUUAAGGAUCCAGGGAGUUUUACUAUACCAUGUUCCAUUGGAAAUUCUAUAUUUGAAAAAGCUUUAUGUGAUUUAGGUGCAAGUAUUAAUCUCAUGCCUUUAUCUAUUUUAAGAAGCUUGGUUUAGGUGAAGCAAGGCCAACCACAGUAACACUGCAGCUAGCUGACAGGUCAUUGAAGCAUCCAAGGGGAAUAAUUGAAGAUGUAUUGGUGAAAGUGGGCAAGUUCAUCUUUCCAGCAGACUUCAUCAUACUGGAUAUGGAGGAGGAUAAUGAGAUUCCUAUCUUGCUUGGCCGGCCAUUCUUGGCCACUGGAGGUGCGUUAAUUGAUGUGAAAAAGGGGAGCUGCGGUUAAGGGUGAAUGAAGAGGAGGUGAUUUUCAAUGUGUUCAAAGCCAUCAAACAACCAGAUAUGGGGGAGAGUUGCUUCAGCAUUCAAGUGGUGGACUCCUUAAUUAAUGAAAAAGUCAAGCUUCCAACUGACCCGUUGGAAGCAUGUUUGGUAAAUAAUGUACUGGAAGAGGAUGCUGAAAUAGCAGAAUAUACAUGUUGGAUGGACUCUUUUGAACCUAACCGUAGAAGAUACUUUGAAGAUUUGGGACAACCAGCACCAAAGAUAAAAUCAACCAGUGAACAAGCACCGGUUCUGGAAUUGCAACCUCUGCCAGAACACCUUCGGUAUGCAUAUCUUGGAGAAGCUUCCACCUAUCCUGUGAUAGUCUCUGCAAAGCUGACCAAAACAGAGGAAGAAAAAUUGUUGAGGGUGUUGAGAAAACAUAAGGCAGCUCUCGGGUGGGUAUUGGCAGAUAUCAAAGGCAUCAGUCCCUCUAUUUGCAUGCAUAAAAUUCUGUUGGAGGAUGAAGUCAAGCCAACAGUAGAACAUCAGAGAAGGCUUAACCCGACCAUGAAAGAGGUAGUCCGAAAAGAAGUUCUGAAAUGGUUAGAUGCUGGUGUUAUUUAUCCAAUCUCUGAUAGCUCAUGGGUGAGCCCAGUUCAAGUUGUGCCAAAGAAAGGAGGAAUGACAGUGGUAAAGAUGCAAACAACAACUUGAUACCUACUAGACCGGUAACUGGAUGGAGGAUUUAUGGAUUAUCGAAAGCUCAACAAGGCAACUCGCAAAGAUCACUUCCCCCUACCAUUCAUUGAUCAGAUGCUGGACAGGUUAGCUGGGCAUGAAUACUACUGUUUCCUAGAUGGCUAUUCAGGAUACAACCAAAUAGCCAUCGCACCUGAGGACCAGAGAAGACCACUUUCACCUGCCCUUAUGGUACUUUUGCUUUCAGAAGAAUGCCUUUUGGGUUGUGUAAUGCACCAGCUACCUUUCAAGGUGCAUGAUGGCUAUUUUUUCAGAUAUGGUGGAGCAAAUCAUUGAGAUCUUCAUGGAUGACUUUUCUGUAUUUGGAACUUCUUUUGAUGACUGCCUUGCAAAGUUGGCGUUGGUUUUGGAGCGUUGUGAAAAGACAAACUUGAUAUUGAACUGGGAAAAAUGUCACUUCAUGGUAAAGGAAGGUAUAGUGGGGCACCGGAUUUCAGAAAAAGGAAUAGAGGUAGACAGAGCUAAAAUUGAGGCAAUAGACAAGCUUCUGCCGCCAACUACAGUAAAAGGGGUUAGGAGUUUCCUUGGUCAUGCGGGAUUUUAUAGGAGGUUCAUCAAAGACUUCUCUAAAAUAUCCAACUAUGCAGUCUGCUGCUAAAAGACACAAAGUUUCAGUUUGAUGAGGAAUGCAAGACACCUUUAUGCUGUUGAAAAAGAAGUUAGUGACAGCUCCUAUUGUAAUUGCACCGGAUUGGGAGAAACCAUUUGAGCUUAUGUGUGAUGCAAGUGAUUAUGCAGUUGGAGCAGUACUGGGGCAACGGAAAAAUAAUGUGUUUCACACCAUAUACUAUGCCAGCAGAACACUCAACGAUGCCCAGCUCAAUUAUGCCACAACCGAGAAAGAGUUGCUUGUUGUGGUCUAUGCAUUUGAUAAGUUUCGGCCUUACCUGAUGGGAAACAAAGUACUGGUAUAUACUGAUCAUGCUGCAAUUAGACACCUAGUGUCUAAGAAAGAUGCCAAGCCUAGACUCAUCCGUUGGAUCCUAUUACUGCAAGAAUUGAUGUAGAAAUUAAAGAAAAAGGGGACUGAGAACGUGGUGGCAGAUCAUCUUUCAAGGCUGGAAUUGACACAGCAGCUGGAGCCUAAAUUCACGGUUAUAAAUGAAUGUUUUCCUGAUGAAGACUCUUAGCAAUUUCCACUAACAAAUUCUUUCCUUGGUAUGCAGAUUAUGUCAACUUUCUUGCAGGUAAGAUCAUACCGCCAGAUUUUUCUUACCAGCAAAAGAAGAAAUUUUUUUCUGAAGUCAAACACUACUUCUGGGAGGAGCCGAUACUCUAUCGGCAUUGUGCAGAUCAAGUCAUCAGGCGGUGUUCCAGAAGAGGAAAUGACAAAAUAUUGAAGCACUGCCAUACACUUGAAUAUGGGGGGCACUUUGGCACACGCACUGCAGCCAAAGUUCUGCAAGUCAGGUUUUUAUUGGCCCACUAUGUUUAAAGAUGCUCAUGCUUUUGUUACUACUUGUGAUAGAUGUCAGCAUACUGGGAACAUAUCUCGAAGAAAUGAAAUGCCACUACAGAAUAUCCUAGAAGUUGAAUUAUUUGAUGUUUGGGGCAUCGAUUUCAUGGGACCUUUUCCUUCAUCCUAUAACAACAAAUACAUUCUCUUAGCAGUGGAUUAUGUAUCAAAGUGGAUGAGGCAAUUGCAACGCCUACAAAUGAUGGCAAGGUGGUACUUAAUUUCUACGAAAGAACAUCUUUACCAGAUUUGGUACUCCUCGAGCCAUCAUCAGUGAUGAAGGAACUCAUUUUUGCAACAAGCAGUUUGAAGCACUGUUAUCUAAGUAUGGAGUCAGACACAAAAGAGCAUUGGCUUAUCAUCCUCAGACAAAUGGCCAAACAGAGGUAUCAAAUAGAGAGGUGAAGCAAAUCUUAGAGAAAACAGUAAGUAAUUCUCAAAGAUUGGGCAAGAAAGCUAGAUGAUGCAUUGUGGGCAUAUCGGACAGCAUUCAAAACACCAUUGGGAAUGUCUCCGUAUCGAUUAGUUUUUGGAAAAGCAUGUCAUCUUCCUGUUGAAUUAGAGCAUAAGGCAUACUGGGCAAUGAAACAACUGAACAUGGAUUUGCAGGUUGCAGGUGAGAAAAGAAUCCUGCAACUUAAUGAGAUGGAUGAAUUUCGCAAUGAGUCCUAUGAAAAUGCCAAGAUAUACAAGGAAAGAACCAAGGCAUGGCAUGACAAACACAUUGUACGCAAGGAGUUUGUCCCUGGUCAACAGGUAUUACUCUUCAAUUCACGGCUCCGCUUGUUUCCUGGUAAGCUUAAAUCACGAUGGUCAGGACCAUUUACGGUUGUGAAGGUAUUUCCUUAUGGAGCAGUAGAGGUCACCCAUGAUGAAAAGGGAACAUUUACAGUGAAUGGGCAGCGUCUGAAGCAUUAUAGGAAUGGAGAGUCUAUUGGGAAAAGGGAUGAUAUCCCUCUCACUUCAUCUUAGAUAAAUGGAAAACUCAAGCUAAUGACUAUAACUAAGCGCUGAUUGGGAGGCAACCCAAAAAAAAAAAAAAAAAACCCUUAUGUGUUUCAUUGAGUUGUGCAGGAAUUGAUGAUACAAGAAAAUAACCAGGAGCAACAACAAACUCACACCCACAAAGUCAAAAGGAAGUAUUCGUAAGCCUUUCUAUUCUUCAUUUUUCCAUUGAGGACAAUGUGAUAUUUAAGUUUGGGGGAGACAUUGCAUGCUUUGACUAUGAAAGACACUGCACACUAGAACCAUGAAAACAGAGGGUGAAAAGUGAUAUGCAUUUAAGACCAACUUGACAUUUUUAGGUGCUUCAUGAUGUAACCAUGAUAUUUCUUGGCUUAGAGCGGAUGAUAUCUUAUAAAGUUGGAUUAAGCAUGACUAUUUUCUUUUGAAUUAUUGAAGUACACUUUUCCAGCACAAUCAUGUGAAUUGUGUAGUUAUGCAUAAGAGAUAAGUGUGCUGUUCUUUCUUGUUAUUACCCUCUAAGAAAAAUAUUAAAACAAGGAGUGAUAAUGAGUAUGAAAUGAAUGAAUAAGUAUAUGAUGUGUAUCUACUCCAAUGUUUUGAGUUGCUUAGUAACUAGGAGUAUUCAUCACAAAUGUUUACUUUUACGUCAAACGGCAGCUUAAAAUUUGAGUAUGCAAAGCAUUUUAAGUUUAUGACCUGUUAAGUAACCGGGUGCAUUCAUCACAAAUGUUUGUAUUCGCGUCAAAAGACAAGUGAUAAAUUUAAAAAAAUCACCCUUGUCAAAAGACAAGUAAAAGUGUGUUAUUACUCCUAAAGUUGGCUACCUUGUUUAAAAAAAAAAAAAAAUAAAAAAAAAAAAAAGUAAUGACGGAAUGACUGUGCACGGUUCAAGGAUGCUAACACAUGAAACACAUGGAUGAGUUGGAAGUUUGUACAACGACCUGAAGAGAGUAGAAUGCUUAAUUUUUCAUUAUCUAAUAUUGUCUAUGAGCUAAGUCAAGAAGUGAACGCUGCAUGAUGGGGCCUUUUAAAUGUGAAAGUUGAACUUAUCAUGAGCUUUUAGCACUCUGCUUUCAUGGUUUCCUUUUUGCUUGAGGACAAGCAAACAUUCAAGUUUGGGGGUAUUUGAUAAGGGAAUUUUUAGCAUAUAUAUUUUUCGCUAUUCAUGCUUGAUUUUUAAAUAUUUUGGAUAUGUUGAACAAGAAAAUUAGAAUUUUGAAUCUCUUUUUGAACUAUUGACCUCGUGGGAAAUUAAUGUGUUUUCAGAUCUUAGGUUACUAAACAGGCAGAGCCGGGCAGUGAAACUGAACAGUGAUUCAUUAUGUGCUGCAAAGAAGCUAUACAAUUUAGUUCCGGAUGUUCGUAACCAUUUUCAAAUAGCUGAGAUGAAGGUCUACAAAACAUAUGAAGGGCAUAUAACUCAGUUUUGUUGUUUCGAAGCCCAAAAAGCGAGUUGAAAAACAAGGAUUGAACCAGCCCGAAACUCCUGCACUGCAAAGACUGCUUCGGUUUAUGGCCCUUAUCUCAGCACUCAGACGUCCAAAAAUUGCAAGAUCAGUUUUGUUGGAAAGAAAAUUUGAUUCUCUACAAUUUCUCCAGAAAUAGAGAUCUUUAAUUCGCACGUUUUCUACCUCAAAUCGGGCCCGCAAUGUCUGAGUAGGAAGGAAUUUAAUGCAGAAAGGAAACUUUCCUCAUUACUGCAGGGGUAGAAAAGCCACAAUAUAAAAGAAGAAAAAGGGGGAUUGAACAGCGGAAAACCUACAACAUAGAAAACAAAAAGAGAGGAGGCGGCACCAAGGAAAAAAGAAAAUACACCUUUGGCAGAGGCAAAACUAUUCAAAAACCGGGAGGACACCUAUCUUUUCGACGGAAAUUCUCUGCUUUUGAGUGAUGUUCAUCGUAUCAAGUUUGUUUCUCUUUAAUUUAACUAUGGAGUAGACUUUUAUUCUGGGAUUUUUGAUGUAACCUUACUAUGAAUAUGUGAACAAUUUCUUCGAUUGAAUUAUUACAUUAAGAUGUUGAGUAUUUGAUUCUAUGUGCAAUGCUUGCGUGUGUUUGGCCAACAUUUGCAUGAUUUAGAAUUCAAUUUGAAACUGAGAAGUAAUAAUUGUUUUAGCUAUUGUUUGAAAUACCUUAAGAAAUCUAUAGGAUAGAGAUAUCCUAUGAACUUUUGUAAUCGUUACAGGUUUUACAGUACUUAAUAAAUAUCGACAAGUUCAGAACUUUCGUAGAGUAUAUGAAAUUUGUUUGUCGAAAUAAUUUAUUGAUGCUCGAGAGAGAUUAAUAUUUACAUUAGAAAAACCUGAUUAUCAACAUUAGGAGUAAUUAAUUUAAUUGAGAAAGUUCACAUAGGCAUAGUUACGGUAAGUCAGAAAUCCUAGAACCAGUACAAUUGAAUUCAUUAAUAUUUAAUCAAAUAGUUGUUACCUUUUAAUCAUUAAUUUUUGUUUCAUAAACUAUCUCAUUUGAUUCUUCAAAUAGAUCAUAAUUUAAAAGACUUUGGUAAUUAGUAGUAAUUUUUGUAAAUCCUCGUGGGACGAUACUCUACUCAUCACUUUAUUACUUGUUACGAUUUGUGCACUUGCAAAAAUAACCAACAGGCAGGUCGCACGAUAGUUGACUCUUUUAUUCGGAUUUCAACUCUUACCAUCUGCAUAUUUGCAACAAAAUCCUGUUAAAGUCCUGUUUGUUGAUAUAUGCUGUUUAAAUUGUUGAAAAUCAACUCCAUGUUUGCUUAGCUUAGUACAUUGCAGUAUAUGUUAAAUAUUAAUGAAGCAGAAUUAAAUAUUUAAACUCAUACUUUAUUCGCCUAGUUAGAAUUUUCUUCUUAGAAGAAAAAAAAAAUAGAGGGGGGGGGGGUGUGCGCAGAUGGUGACGACCACUCGUAUUUAUAGAAGAAAAAAAAGAAAAGGAAGGAAGAAACGAGGGGGUGAAAACAAUUUGGGUGCGUUUUGCUGGCGGCCGUUCAACCGUAUUUUUCUAAUUUAUUUUUUAUAUAUUUUAAAAAUAUUUUGAUAUAAUAAUAUAAAAAUAUAUUAUUUUAUAGUUAAUAUUGAUGUUUUAAGAAUAGUGUUAUUUUUUAAUAUAUAUAUAUAUAUUAAUUAACUCUUUGCAUGAACCUCUAAAACUAAUGCUUAUAUAGAGAGACUUCAAUUUUCUAAUAUCACGUUUUUUCUAUCGCCACAACAAUUAUUUGUCAAAUAGUUACAAUUGCUUAAAGUGCCAAGGUGUUUUAUUUUUAAAAAUGUUUUUCAUUUUUAACAUUCAAAUAAUAUUUUUUAUUUUUAAUAUAAACAUAUUAAAAUAAUCUUGACAGAUUCCUUGCCAGAAAGAAAUUAAUGUGGGGGGAAUAUUGUGGGACCUCCACGCUUUAAAGCACGAGAUUUCGAGUCUUACGUGUCUACCAUUUAACCACUAAGGCAGAUUUCUUGUCAGAAAGGACAGAUGCAACUGUGCUAGACUGCUAGCCUCUACGGCAUUCAAUGCGCUGCCUGCCACCUGUCUCUGCGUGUUCUGUCUUUUUCUUUCUCUGUACUGCCACCGCUAAUUAUUGGACAUUUACUGCCUUUGCUUGUCCUCCUUCUUCCUUGAUGCCCCCCGGCCCCACCUACUCUUUCCGUUUUUUGCAAUUAUAAUGGUAUUUUUUUAUUUCGGGAUAUUCGGUACUCUAUUAUGGAUUUGUACUAUUUAUAUAAUAUUAAUAAUUCAAAAUAUUAGUUUGAAAAAUAUAAUAUUAAUUCAAACACAAAUAUAAACAAACUUAAAAUUAUACCAAAUCUAAAAUACAAAAUAAUAAAAUAUAAGUUAAAUCGAUAUAUUUUUUAAAUCUCAAAUACAAACUUGAAAAAUAUAUCUAAAGGGAAUGAAAUUACAUUCGGGAAAGCAUAUGACUACAAAAGAAUAGUUUAUUUUACAGUGUGUUUGUGGUAUUUUUUAAAGAAUAUUUUUUGUUUGAAUACAUGUUAAUAAUGAUAUUUUUUUAUUUUUUAAAAAUUAUUUUUGACAUCAAUAUAUCAAAAUGAUUUGAAAAUGUUAAAAACAUAUUAAGUUAAAAAUUAAAAAAAAUCAAAUUUUUUCAAAAAUAUUUUUAAAAUAUAAAAACAAAAAAAUCCCUUGUUUUACCGGUGAAGUAGAUUGUGCACGUGGACUGCUGGAAAGUAUAUGGCCCCUCCCUUACGAUGGCCCGGGCUAGCUGUGUGUGAUUAAUGUUUAUUGUUUUAUAUAUUAUAUCGAUAUCAAUAAUAAAUUUUAAAAAAUAUUUUAAUAUAUUUCUAUAAAAAAACAAUUAUUAUCACCCUUUUAAAUACUUCAUUAAAAUAACGUAAUAUAUAUUUAUUAAACAACGGAUUUUCCGCCCGAGUCAAAAUGAUGAUUUAAUUCGACCGGCAUCCUCAUUCCCCCCUUAAAAAACCCUAGCGAGCUUGCUUAGCCUAACCAGAGGCUGACAGCCAGAGUCCUUCCCUCCGGAUAAUGUAGCAGGAAUCAUAAAACAUUCAACAGAAGAUUUUGUGCUAGGAAAAACUCCCAGAAAGUACGCUAGGGACUUCUCUUAAUGAUAUGCUAUCAGUGAAAUUUUGGGAUCUAGGAUCCGCAUUAACUCAGUAGAAAGCAGCUCAUGAAGUAUCGCUUCAAAUAUUAUAUAUAUAGGUAAGUUAACUUCACUGUCAAACGAGAGGUGGAUUACAGAUCAUAUAUACGAUAGUAUACUAGUUGAUCAUAGUCAUAUAUACGCCCUGAAAUGCCACUAGCUGUGGAUUUCGGAUUCCUUUGUAAAGCUUCAAGGUGCAGGCAUCACUCAUGCGAAGCUGGCAACAAUGGCAGCAGAGCUAUCCUACUAUUCAAGCUUCAAGCUAGCAUAUUUGGAUAACAGCUCCUACAUGAAAAUGUGCAAUUCAGUUUACCGAACUCCUGAGAAGCGUUUUCCUUUUGUCAUCCUAUGUGCAAUUCAUGAUGUUACGAGACUGAGAUACAGAACACUGUACAUCCAGUAAUUUUGUUUUGGUGGUCUGGGAUAGGUAGAACUCUGCUCUGGCUUCCUCCUGGUUCAAGCACCGAUCAACCUGAGAAAAUAGAAAGAGAACGAAUUAUAGGUUGUUACAUAAACAUAGAAUUGACUUCUUUGGGAUGCCAAAGUUUCAAGCAUUACUGACCUUCCGCAGGUAAUUGGAGAAGGAAUCACCCCAAAACCACCACUCCAAAGAUAGCUGAGAGUAGUAAGCAGCAGCUUCUGCUAGCAUUAUCUGCUCCAGUUUUUCAUAAUAGUUGGUGGUUCCAUUCCCUCCAACCUCUAAAAAGAAAUCAAGUACCCUCUUUAGUAGGUUCCGAUCAAUCUGCCCCCCUUCACGCUCUUGAAUGAUCUGCCCAUAAAGUCAUAUGCAGGGUUAAACCAACCUCAGAAAGAAGACAACCCAUUAUAAAACAACCAGUGAAUGCUAACUGACCAGCCUCAUCAUUGCUUCCUGCAAUUUACUGAAUAGCUCAUCACAGACCUGAAAAUAAGAUUGGAUAUGAUGCUCAGCCAAAUAGUGUAAGGGAACAGAAGCAAGAAUAAGAACUAAACUACUUCAUGUAGUUACUUACCAAAUUGCAGAAGUCAUAUCUCAUGGAGUCAGCAGGUGAUGGAUGUCUUUUCCUACGGAUGUAGAAAUUAUCCAGGUCUGCAAAGGUUUUUGACAAUUCCUUAUACUCCAGCCAUAAUCGCGUGAUUUCUGUUAAAAGCUCUGUACCAUGUUUGUCCAUUAACACUGGAAGUACCUAAAAGAGCAUGCAAGGAUGGAAAACAACGGGAUGUGUUCAUUAUUAUAUUCAUUGCACUUUGACAAAGAUGAAAGCAAAAGAAAUUGAAACCCUUCUCAACUGCCACGUCUCAUUUCUCCACUUUUGUAAAUUACAAAGACCACCAAUCUAGACUAAGCUAGAUAGCUAGAGAAAACAAAAUUGGGUAUGCAUAACCAUGAGUAAAGCAUCUUGCAAAAUUAUCCUAUGCAAUAAGUUAUAAACAAGAGAGCAUGUCAUAGUGAGAGUUUCUCAUGCUUUGACAUUCUUAGCCAACACAUUUAAGAUACAUGAGAGCCAAUUCUACCAGAGAAAUUAUGCAGAAGCGAAGAAACUGACAGAAUUAUUGAUUAUUUAUGGUAGAAAUCUCACCCUUUCUUGAAUUAUCUCACUUAAACAGUUCGUAUACUUCUCAUAAACCAGGCUGCAAGAGUCCCCACGCUUCCUUGUGCACAAAUUGUAUACACAACUAUCACAAGUGUUAAGGAUAUGCCAAUUCUCGGCAACUAAAAUCACAUUCAGGAAUAUUGAUUUAUCUCGUCAAGUAGAAAAGAAAUCAAGAUAUCAAACUUCGACAUGUAAGUAAACCAUAUUGCAGGAUACUCAUAAGCAAUCAUUUUUUCCGCAGGUGUAAAUGGAAUCACAGGGUGUCCAUCCAUAAUCAUCUUCUUCUUCGUAAUUAUAUCAUCUAUCUUCUUUAGCUUCUCAUUCAACAUCAUGUCAGCAUCCAUCUUCAUUUAGCUGCAGUCGAAAACAUUUAAAAUUGUAAUGAUCGAAGUUCAAAAUCAAAGAAAGAGAUAGCAUGCAUAUCUGUAUUGCACACUCAUCCGACUAUUUCUCAUUUUCCUUUUAAAAAUAGAAUUUCUAAAGUCUACAAUAGCAUCCAAAACCCUUUGAACAGACUAGAAAGUUUCUGGCGUUGACAAUUAAACUUUAUACCAAACAAACUACAUCCAAGGUCCUGCUCUAAUUAAGACCUGAAAAAGGAGUACACUUGUAGUGAAAAAUAUCAAGAGACUACUGCCAUAGGAGACAGUGUACAAGCACACAUUCCAGAACUAAUUCAAGAUUCAAUCAAUAUCCAUAAAGCAUGAAACUUUAGGUGACCCCAUAUACCAAAAAACAUACAACCAGCAGUGUCAAGCAUGUUUGGAGAGAUUAAAAAUUGGACAUUCACAGCCAGACAGAAAAAUCGCAAAAAAAAUACUCAAAGCAAGGAAAUUUACAUCACCCCACAUGCCCCAACACAGAAAGAAACACUAUCAAGCUGGUUGGAAAUCUUAAGAGAUUACAAAUUAGAAACUAAUUUCUUUUCCUACGUUGCACGCAAAACCCCAUCACAAAUUUUGCACCUUUUGACCAUCAAAAUUACAAAUUGUAAUUGUAAUAAUAUUCACUAAAACCCACGUGAUCAAUGGCCAAAAACAAUUAAAAUACGUUCAAGAACUACCUGGUUAAGCAAAAGAGUGAAACAAGAAUCAAAUGCAGCAGAGAGAGAGGAAGUGAAGAAAAAAGUGGGGUUUGCAUUAUACUUAUAGGGAAAGCAGCUUGCAGGGGAAGUUGAAGGGAAAGGUGGGGCUUGCAUAUACUUGUAAGGAGAAGCCACCUUGCAGUGAAAGUUGAUAGGACAUAGGUCCAUAGACCAUAGGCUGUUGUUUCUUAUGUAAUAAUUGUUAUACUUUUUAAAAAUAUUUAAAAAUAUAUUAAAAUAAUAUUUUUUUAAUUUUUAAUAUUAUUAUAUUAAAAAAAACAUGUUAAUUUGAUAUUUUUUCAUAUACAAAAUAAUUUUAAAAAUAAUUUGAAUUAAUUUAAAUAAAAUUCAAUAAAGCAUAAAUAAUGAUAGCCAUAGUUGUAAGAAACUACUUAAAUGAAUUCAUUUGAUUCAAGAUUCAGAUUGAGAAUUAAGUGGUUUAAUAUGUAAAUUAAUUUAUAAAUUAUAAUUUAAAAAAUAAAAUAUAAAAUGAUGUUAUUUUAAUUAUAUAUAAAAAAAAACAAUUCAAAUAAAACUUGAUGUAAACCACAUUUUGGGUCAAUGAAUUACUAGAUUGGCAAGUCAGACAAAGUCAAUUUUUAUAAUUAUGAUAGUAAAGGCUAAGUUGCUUAGUGAAAAAUGGCACUAAAAUAUAAUGUGUUUAGAAAUGUGGUAAUUUUUAUUUUUAUGUGUGUUUUAAAAGUGCAUUUUAUUUGAAAAGAAAGACAAAUAGUAAAUUGAUAUUUUUUUAGUGUUUUUUUUAUAAUUUUAAUGUGUUGAUGUCAAAAAUAAAUAAAAAAUCUAAAAAAAAUAUUUGAUGUAUUUUCAAGCAAAAACUAUUUUAAAAAAAUAUUUUACAUCACAAUACCAAACAUACAUGAUUCAAAUUGAGGACUAAGUGGUUUAAACCGUAGAAUUAAUUUAUAAAUUAUGAUUUAAAAAAUAAAAAUAUGAAAUGAUGUUGUUUAAAAUAUUUUUCUAAACAAUGUUAUUUUAAUUAUAUAUAUAUAUAUAUAUAUAUAAAUUUAGUAAAACUUGAUGUAAACCAUAUCUUGGGUUAAUAAAUUACUAGAUUGACAAAUCAAGCAAAAUCAAGUUUUAUAACUAUGGUUGUAAAUGCUAAGUUGUUUGGUGAAAAGUGGCACUAAAAUAUUAUGAGUAUUUGAAAGUGUUUUAUCUUUUAUUUUUAUAUGUGUUUUAAAAGUGCAUCUCAUUUGAAAAAAAUAUUAAAUUAAUGUGUUUUUUGCUUUUUUAUAAUUUUAAUGUCUUGAUGUCAGAAAUAAAUAAAAAAUCUAAAAAAAAGUAUAUAAUGUAUUUUCAAGUAAAAAUUAUUUUUUAAAAUACUUUAUAUCAUAGAAUUGAGGUUGACUUGACUUGAGGUUGAAAUAUUUAAAAGACAUAUUAUACUAUAACUUAAAAUGCGUGAAUUUUUUUUAUUAUAGAGGCAAUUAUUGUUUAUGCACACACAAAUCACUAUGAAUAGAAUUGUUAUGCACUAUGCAUUUGUUAAAAUUUUAUUUUGGUCCUUAAAGUUUUUUUCUCGAUGAUUUAAUUCUAAUUAAAGGCCAAUUGAUUGUAAUUUUUUAGGAAAAGGUGGGGUUGAAAGAAGAGGGACUAUAAUGAAAAAGGUGUCAAACAUGGAUGACAUGCCAUAAGUUUUGACAACAAAUACACUUUGAUCCUCAAACUUUAAAAAUAACAUAAAUUAUACAAUUUCAGUACCUCAAUAUUUUUCAAGUUUAAUUUUUGUACAAAAACUUAUUUUUAUUAUUUUUUAGUCCCUGACUAGACAGAUGAGAGAAAAAGGUCGUCGAAUUACAAAAGUAGUAAGAGAAAAAAUAUUGUUGAUACCGAUUUAAGUCAUCAAAACAGUCAAUAUUUGUGUCAAAUGGUUCCAAUUGAUGAUGAGAAUUUAUAUUAAGUAUUUUUUUUCCCUAAAAGUCCUUGAAAAUACAUAUACAAGCUCAAUUUGAAUUUUGGUUUCUGGUUUAUUUUAGUUUUUUGGGUGGUUUUUUUUUUCCCCAAGAUAAAUUUAUCACAGUUUUAAUGUUUUCUAGGUUUUUAUUCAAGCCACCUGCCCUAAAUGAAGCAAAAAAAUAAAAAUAAAGACCCAAUCGACCCAUCCUUCCAGGGCAAGUCCAUGCACGAGCCUUGAAGAAAUGGGCUAGUCAGGCCCAACAACACCUAGCUUUUUUCUGUUUUUUAAUUAAUGUUUUUUAUUUUAUUUGUAUUUAGAUUAAUAUCUCUUCUCUAUUUUAUUUUGUUUAAAAAACCUCUUUUAAAUUAGUUAAAAAACAGGUGUUUUGAAAAAAAAAAAAGUUAGAAGUCCAAUUUUCCAAUUAUCAGAAUAUUUUUUUUCAAGUCACCCUACCCCAAAUGCAGCAAAAACAAUAAGGGCUCAGUCGCUCCAUUUUUCAACACAAGUCCAGGCACGAGCCUUGAAAAAAUGAGCCAGACAAGCUAGCUUGAUACAAAAGCGCCUGGUUUUUUUUGUUUUUUUAAUUAAUAUUUUUUUAUUUCAAUAUUUUUUAUUUUAUUUGUAUUUAGAUUAAUAAUUCUUUUCUUUUUUAUUUUGUUUUGAAAGCUUCUUUUAAAUAACAAUUAUUUUUUAGUUAUAUAUAUAAUUUUUGAAAAAAAAUUUCUUAUUCAUCUAUAAUCUUUUAUAAUUUUUUUUAAUAUUUUGUAUAUAUGAACUUUGUUUUGAAGAGGGGAAAAAAUUUAUUUGCAGAUAAUAUAUUGCAUAAUAUUUUUUUAUUUAAAUAAUUAAUGUGUAUUUAUUUAUAUUAUCAUUUAAUUGAAUAAAAAACCAUUUAACUACUUAGAAAAUUUUUAUAUAAACAAGUUAAACCAUUUUUAUAUAACAUUCUACAGAAAAGUUUGUGCUGGGAAGACCCCCAGCAUGUAAUCUAGGGAGAUUUGUCUUAACCAUAUCCUCUCAGUAAAGUUUUGGGAUCUAAGAUCCCUGCCACAUUAACAUCAGAGUGUUUAGAUUUGUGGUUUAGCGUAUUUUUUAAUACUAUUUAAAAAUAUAUUAAAAUAAUAUUUUUUAAAAUUUUUAACAAACAUAUAAAAAAAACUAAAAAGUAUUAUUUUAAAAAAUAAAAAUACGGUUCAACUUUAUCUCCGCGGCACACCACAAAUACAAACACAAAUUACUCGGUAGAAUGCAAGUAGAGAAGUUAUAUAGACAAGUUAAACCAUUUAACUGACUUCAUUGUCACACUCAGGAGAGUUGGAUUGCAGAUCAUACGCAAUUCAUGCUGCUGAAUAUUAUAACAGAACGAUAGUAUACUAGUUUAAAGGAUUUCAUAUUCGUAUAUACACCCUGAAAUGCCACCAGCUGUGGAUUUCGGAUUUCUUUGUAAAGCUCCAAGGCGCAGGCAUCACUCAUGCGAAGCUGGCAACAAUGGCAGCAGAGCUGUCCUACUAUUCAAGCUUCAAGCUAGCAUAUUUGGAUAACAGCUCCUGUAUGAAAUUGGUUAACUGAUGUUUAGAGACAAUUUCAACUAUCUUAAUCAUCAUGAACUAAAUGUGGAAAUUGAAGAAUACCUGAUCUUCAGCUGCUAUCCCCUCGGCGAUACGCUUCUGAGCCCACUUCUCUGCAUUUCUUUCCAGCAUAACAUAUUUCAUCACCUGCAACGAGGACCACAUCAGUGUAGGAUCAUAGCAGGAUGCCAAACAUGUAAUAACACAGCAUCCAUGGUGUUAUGAACUGAGAUACAGAACACUUUACAUCCAGUAUUUUUGUUUUGGUGGUCGGGGAUGGGUAGAGCUCUGCUCUGACUUCCUCCUGGUUCAAGCACCAAUCAACCUGAAACAACAGAAGGAGAAUGAUGUAUAGAUUACAGGUUGCUACAAAAACAAAGAAUUAGCUUCUUCGGGAUGCCAAAGUUUCAAGCAUCACUGACCUUCCGCAGGUAGUUGGAAAAGGAAUCGCCCCAAAACCACCGCUCCAGAGAUAGCUGAGAGUAGUAGGCAGCAACUUCUGCUAGCAUUAUCUGCUCCAGUUUUUCAUAACAGUUGACGGUUCCUUUUUCCCCCACCUCAAAAAGCAAACAAGAUACAGUCUUUAGGAGGUUCCGAUCAAUCUGCCCCCC
rnacentral:lncRNA from 1 species